rnacentral:rRNA from 1 species
GAUGAACGCUGGCGGCGUGCCUAAUACAUGCAAGUCGAGCGAACGGACGAGAAGCUUGCUUCUCUGAUGUUAGCGGCGGACGGGUGAGUAACACGUGGAUAACCUACCUAUAAGACUGGGAUAACUUCGGGAAACCGGAGCUAAUACCGGAUAAUAUUUUGAACCGCAUGGUUCAAAAGUGAAAGACGGUCUUGCUGUCACUUAUAGAUGGAUCCGCGCUGCAUUAGCUAGUUGGUAAGGUAACGGCUUACCAAGGCAACGAUGCAUAGCCGACCUGAGAGGGUGAUCGGCCACACUGGAACUGAGAAACGGUCCAGACUCCUACGGGAGGCAGCAGUAGGGAAUCUUCCGCAAGGGGCGAAAGCCUGACGGAGCAACGCCGCGUGAGUGAUGAAGGUCUUCGGAUCGUAAAACUCUGUUAUUAGGGAAGAACAUAUGUGUAAGUAACUGUGCACAUCUUGACGGUACCUAAUCAGAAAGCCACGGCUAACUACGUG